rnacentral:rRNA from 1 species
AGCAUUCACUUCGGUGAGAUGGCGACCGGCGCACGGGUGCGUAACGCGUAUGCAACCUACCCUUUACUGCGGGAUAGCCCGGGGAAACCCGGAUUAAUACCGCAUGGUACCAAUUGAGGGCAUCUAAAGAUGGUUAAAGAUUUAUCGGUAAAGGAUGGGCAUGCGUGACAUUAGUUAGUUGGUGAGGUAACGGCUCACCAAGACGACGAUGUCUAGGGGGUCUGAGAGGAUGAUCCCCCACACUGGCACUGAGAUACGGGCCAGACUCCUACGGGAGGCAGCAGUAGGGAAUAUUGGUCAAUGGGCGAAAGCCUGAACCAGCCAUGCCGCGUGCAGGAAGACGGCCUUCUGGGUUGUAAACUGCUUUUAUCAGGGAACAAAAAGCUCCUGCGGGAGAAAUUGCGUGUACCUGAAGAAUAAGGACCGGCUAACUCCGUGCCAGCAGCCGCGGUAAUACGGAGGGUCCAAGCGUUGUCCGGAUUUAUUGGGUUUAAAGGGUGCGUAGGCGGCCUUAUAAGUCAGUGGUGAAAUCCUUCGGCUCAACCGGAGAACUGCCAUUGAAACUGUAAGGCUUGAGUACAGACGAGGUAGGCGGAAUUUAUGGUGUAGCGGUGAAAUGCAUAGAUACCAUAAAGAACACCUAUAGCGAAGGCAGCUUACUAGACUGUAACUGACGCUGAGGCACGAAAGCGUGGGGAGCGAACAGGAUUAGAUACCCUGGUAGUCCACGCCGUAAACGAUGAUUACUCGAUGUGUGCGAUAGACAGUACGCGUCCAAGCGAAAGCGUUAAGUAAUCCACCUGGGGAGUACGCUCGCAAGAGUG